rnacentral:rRNA from 1 species
UACGAAGGGGGCUAGCGUUGCUCGGAAUCACUGGGCUUAAAGGGCGCGUAGGCGGCAGAUCAAGUCAGGGGUGAAAUCCGGCAGCUCAACUGUCGAAGUGCCUUUGAUACUGAUUUGCUCGAGGGAGAUAGGGGUCUGUGGAACUUCUGGUGGAGCGGUGAAAUGCGUUGAUAUCAGAAGGAACGCCGGUGGCGAAAGCGACGGACUGGAUCUCUUCUGACGCUGAGGCGCGAAAGCUAGGGGAGCAAACGGG